CAACGUGUAUAGCCGGGGUAAAGAAGCUGCAAGAAAAUCCUCGACACCAGGCCCUAGACGUACUUUAAAAAAAAACAUAAAAUAUUGUUAUACAAUUUAGUAAUUUGACAGCCUAAUAGCGACUCCCAGACAGUUAAUCCCAUGUGUUCAUACCUUCUAAAUAAUUACUAACCUUAUAAUAACUUGUUUUAUAAAGUUUAUGUUAAUUACUUACUGUCUUAAAACUGUUCAAAAUUUCCUAAAUGUAUAUCAUCAAUGUUCUGUUGUAAUUUUUGCCAUGUGAUAGUUUUGUUAUGGAAUGAUUUUCGCGGUUGCCUUAUAUCCUUUACUGUUUAAAUAAGGAUAAAAUAACAAAAUGACUAGUUCUGUGGUGUUCUCAUUUCUCUUGCUAUGGAUUUUCUUUCAACAAGGACUUCCAGAUGAGUGCGUAGAAUACUUGUACAGCAAGUCCAAAAAGCUGGCGUGUGGCGACGUGGGCCCAGUGUACGCUCCGUGCAGGAUGGAGCAGUCAGCCAACACCACGUUCCCUGGCUGCUGCCCCCGGCUCGUCUGCCCACCCUACUACACCUACCUGGACGCCUACGUGUACACGUUCUCCCUGAUCGUGUCUGGGGGUCAAGCCCCGAUGCUUCGCGGGACCAUCACGCCCAAUCCCGUAGAAAGCUUACUUUACGUGUCGAGAAUCAGUCCCGCAGUACUACAAUCUCUUAUAGGGAAAUAAAAGAGUUAAUGCUUCAAAAUAUACCUACUAACGUUUACGUUUAAUUAUCUUAAGUUUGUCCGGCCAAGUAGUUAAUACCAUCUGCGGCAAAUCUACAAUAAGUCACGUCAAAAAAAAUCUUAGUGCAGUUUUCACUAACGCAGUUUUUGAAUACCUAAUAAAUAAUUUUGCUACACGAUAAAAAUGUACGUAAGUACUUACCAAUCUUUUUAUUAGUUUUUAUUGAUAUUUCGUCUCUAUUACUGGGGCUUAAACAUAGCUGGCGAGGAGUGGGUGUUCUAAUACACCUCUGCCUACCCCGCCGAGAAUACAGGCAAUGAUUCUACUUAUAUCAAUUUUCUUAUAUUUUACUCGUUUAAGUAUUUAAGCUGAAUAAGACUGGGAGCGUCGUCGAAGAGUUUUGUAUAAGUCAUAAAUAAAAAAAAAACAAAAAACAAAAUAAUUCUAACAAGAUAUAAUAUAUAAUUAUAAUAUAAUAUAUAAUAAAAAAUAAAUAAAAAUAAUAAUAAAUAAUAUCAGUACUUCUUUCAAUUUUAUUUUCUAACAAAAUAUGGACUAGUUUCCGAAAUAAAUAUUUUAAAUUUGAAUUUUUAUUGGUCAUAAUUUAAUUAAAAAAACUUAAAUAAGAAGUAUUUUUUUUGAAACUUUACACAGUAAACUUCUUAAUUUUACACUGCAAAUAGGUGUGUUGGUGCCCGCGUAUCCAAUCAAAUCAAACAAUCUUUUUUUUAAAAUAAAUAUUAAGUGAAAACUAAAACUAAAUGGCAUGGGUGGUUUAGAUGAAAUCCGGUACAAAACGGAUCCAUCACUUUAUCAGGAUCCAACAGAGUACCGGGUACCUAAAGGCGCCGUUUUUGACCAAAACUCUCCGUGUUCCACCUCUAUGUGCAUUGAGCUUAAAUAAACUAAUAAAAAACAGUCAUUACGUGACUCAAGCGCAGUCAAACGCUUUCAGAUUGCCAAAAUAUUCUUAUAAGUAUUUCGUACAAUCGUAAUUCACCAAAUAUAAGGUUUUUGGCAUAAUAUCUCCUGGCAUAUAGGUACUUAUUUGUAUUAAUAUGCUUUAGGCAUUUACUUGGUUUGGCUUACGAGCCAAAACAGAAGAAUAGUGCACGAACGUGAUUUCGUUAAAAGUAAAUAAACAAUAUUUAUUUUUUUCGCACUGCAGAUCUUGAGAAACUUGAGUAAUAACCGUUUAUCCGUUUAUUUAAAUAAGAUAAAUUAGUAUCUAUACAAUAAUAUCUCUCCUCUUCUUUAUUCAAGUCUGUAUAUAUAAACUACAUAUUUAAAGAAUGCCUGAUUGUGCCGGAUAUUGACAUGUGUUACUUAUUUAUUAUUAUUACAUACAUAAACUCACGCCCGUAAUCCCUAAUGGGGUGGGCAGAGCCACAAGUAAUCAAAGACAACUUGCAGCCACUGUUGAUACGAAGUCCAAAGAUGGAUAUGAUGAACCUUAUGGUGAUAAGGGAUCAGCCUAUCGCCCAUAACAUUAGUCCAUCAUGUUAGAGGACACAAUCCCUCUGUCGGUUUUUACGACAUGCCCGGGAAGAGAAGCAGCUGAACGUGUUCUAUGUUUUUUAUAUGCUCCCAGAACAGCAUAGAAGCAUAAUUAUUAUUAUUAUUGAUAAUUAUUUCAAUUUCAAUUAAUAAUAAUUUCAAUUUAAGUGGACAAAUUAUGUAAUAAUAAUGAUAUUAUGGGUGGGUGUAUUAAUUGUGUUAUAUAAUUAAUAUUAUUGCCUGAAAUAAACAGUUUUUAUUUUAUUUAUUUAUUUUAUUUUUAUAACGUUUUUCUUCUUCUACUCCUUAGUAGCUGGUAUCCUUAGUUCAAAAAAUUUUAGGGAUAACAGCUGAUUCAUAAUAAUUAUGUCACAACUUGUAACUACAUACUUAUAAUUGUAAACAAAUAUUGUCAUAUAUUUAAGGCUUUAGUGGUGCAAAUAAAGAUAUUAUUAUAUAUUAUUAUACAUUCUUGGCACUGGGCCCGCGCGGUGGUUUAAGGCCCGAUCUCCCUGUCCAUCCAUAGGGAAGGCCCGUGCCCCAGCAGUGGGGACGUUAAUGGGCUGAUGAUGAUGAUACAUUCUUCUAACAUCUUUUUCUUUAUAAAGUAGGUACCUAUAGUACUGUCAUGGUUUCCUCUUCCAUAAUAUAUGUAAAUAUUUAUAUAUUAUUAUAAUCAUUAUUUAUUUUCUUCUAUAUAUAGUUUUUAAUAUACUAUAUCUAGGUACACUUAUAUUUUUUUUUUUUGCACUGACAAUCCCGCUACAUUUUUUAUUAAAUUCAUUUCCUAUACCUAAAGAUUGCCUGGAAGAGAUUGCUACCUUAGCAAUAAGGCCGCCUGUUGUACUAUCUAUUUAAUUAUACUAAGUAAUGUAUUUUUAAUAUUUGUUUGUUUUAUUGUAUUGUACUUUUAUAAUAAAUAUGAUGAAAAUAGGAGCGCGGUGGGGCAUGGUAAAGUAUGCUCCAUACCCCCUCCGGUUGAUUGAGGGGAGGCCUGUGCCCAGUAGUGGGACGUAUAUAGGCUGUUUAUUGUAUGUGAAAAAAGGAUGAAGACAAUGUGUGAAAAGUGUUUUAUAUGACUCUUUUCUUGUAAUAUUUAAUAAUACCUGUUUAUUUACACACGAGUUGUUAUACUUAAGAUAACCGGCGCAUUGGUGCCUCGGCUCUGUCAUGCCGUGAAAUAGGUUUACCUAAUCACUUUAAAAUAAAUAAAUAAGUACUAAAGUAUAGUACAGUGCAAUACAAUGUUUCAUACGCUAAUAACAUAUUUAUAACAGGUAAGGUAUAAGCCUCUGCAGCCGAACUAGGUGAAGCCUGUAUCUCAGCAGGCAACGCCUGUUCCCAACGGAUAAUAACAACUUAGCCAAAUAAAUUGUCCUUAUGUAGUACAUACUUGUUUAGGUAUAUAACAAUAAACUUUGAUAAAUAUUUGAAAAGGAAGAUCAAUAUAUAUUAACUUUAAAAAACAAAGACUCGGUAAUUCCACACACUACAUGCGUAAUAUUAGGUAAGUACCUAUAUAUUGUUUAUAAAAUAACCAAGUGCCAUAAUAAUAAUGAUUCAACGACGUAACCACAAAUGUGAAAUAAAUCACAAAAUAACAAGUUGAAAAAUACCUAUGCAAAAUACUUACUUCACACACUGACUUCUUUUACGCACAAUCACCAUUACACACUCUCACUUAACAAACACACACGCUCACCCUCGAACUUAAAUUCAUUAUAAUCCGUUAAAUGUAUACAUAUUAUUAACACAGUUAAUUUGAUUUGAUUGUUUAGAUUUAAGCUUAUUAUUUUUAAUAUUUUUUGGGGUUCAGCUGAAAAUCAGCGUUGUGGCACUCCCUCAAUGUCGGAGUGUCACAACAUCUUGCUGAGCUGACGUCCCUUUUUAGAGAUAAGGUAUAAAUUCAUUAUUUUGUUCAUUAUUCUAUUCCGCGUACCACCUACUUAUUUCUAAAAUA